rnacentral:rRNA from 1 species
GAUCCUGGCUUAGGAUGAACGCUAGCGGCAGGCUUAACACAUGCAAGUCGAGGGGCAGCGCGGGUAGCAAUACUGGCGGCGACCGGCGAAAGGGUGAGUAACGCGUGAGCAACAUGCCCGACACAGGAGGAUAGUCGAUGGAAACGUCGCGUAAUACUCCAUAACAACAUGGAUCGCAUGGUUCGUGUUUGAAAGAUUCAUUGGUGUCGGAUUGGCUCGCGUACCAUUAGCUAGUUGGCGGGGUAACGGCCCACCAAGGCGACGAUGGUUAGGGGUUCUGAGAGGAAGGUCCCCCACAUUGGAACUGAGACACGGUCCAGACUCCUACGGGAGGCAGCAGUGAGGAAUAUUGGUCAAUGGCCGAGAGGCUGAACCAGCCAUGCCGCGUGCGGGAGGACGGCCCUAUGGGUUGUAAACCGCUUUUGUAGAGGAGCAAUAAGGCCCACGUGUGAGCCGAUGAGAGUACCCUGCGAAUAAGCAUCGGCUAACUCCGUGCCAGCCGCCGC